rnacentral:piRNA from 1 species
UGCCAAAGACUGAAGGGCAUUGAUUGA